rnacentral:rRNA from 2 species
UCUGGUGGCGAUAGCGAAGAGGUCACACCCGUUCCCAUGCCGAACACGGAAGUUAAGCUCUUCAGCGCCGAUGGUAGUUGGGGGUCUCCCCCUGUGAGAGUAGGACGCCGCCAAGC